rnacentral:rRNA from 1 species
CCUACGGGAGGCAGCAGUGAGGAAUAUUGGGCAAUGGCCGAAAGGGUGACCCAGCAACGCCGCGUGGAGGAUGAAGGUCGUAAGAUUGUAAACUCCUGUUAGAGGGGAAGAAUAACUAAGUUUGGAGCUGAGUAUGACUGUACCCUCAGAGAAAGCCCCGGCUAACUACGUGCCAGCAGCCGCGGUAAUACGUAGGGGGCAAGCGUUGCCGGGAGUUAAUGGGGGGAAAGGGGGAGCAGACGGAAGGGAUGAAAUCCUACAGCUUAACUGUAGAACUGCAUUUGAUACUGUCAUUCUUGAGUUCGGGAGAGAGAGACGGAAUUCCAGGUGUAGUGGUGAAAUACGUAGAUAUCUGGAAGAACACCAGUUGCGAAGGCGGUCUCUUGGUCCGAUACUGACGCUGAGGCGCGAAAGCGUGGGGAGCAAACAGGAUUAGAUACCCUGGUAGUC